rnacentral:rRNA from 1 species
GAUGCUCCCGCGUAUGAUUAGGUUGGUGGUGAGGUGGCGGCCCACCGAAGCGACGAUCAGUAGCCGGCCUGAGAGGGUGAACGGCCCCGUUGGGACUGAAACACGGCCCAUACUCCUACGGGAGGCAGCGGUGGGGAUUAUUGCACAAUGGGGGCAACCCUGAUGCAGCGACGCCGCGUGAAUGAAGAAGUACUUUGGGAUGUAAACUUCUGUCAUCAGGGAAGAUAAUCACGGU